GUAGUCGUGGCCGAGUGGUUAAAGCGAUGGACUUGAAAUCCAUUUAAGGUCUCCCCGCGCAGAAUCGAAUCCUGCCGGCUGCG